AGAGUUUGAUCCUGGCUCAGAUUGAACGUUGGCGGCAGGCCUCAUACAUGCAAGUCGAACGAGAAAGCGCCUUCGGGCGCGAUUACAGUGGCGGACGGGUGAGUAACGCGUAGGAAUCUGCCCGGCGGCAGGGGACAACUCGGGGAAACUCGAGCUAAUACCGUAUAACAUCCCAACCUUUUUGGGCGGGAUCAAAGGGGGCCUCUCCUUGGAAGCUCCCGCUGCCGGAGGAGCCUGCGUUGGAUUAGCUUGUUGGUGGGGUAACGGCUCACCAAGGCUGCGAUCCAUAGCUGGUCUGAGAGGACGAUCAGCCACACUGGAACUGAGACACGGUCCAGACUCCUACGGGAGGCAGCAGUAGGGAAUUUUGGGCAAUGGGCGCAAGCCUGACCCAGCCAUGCCGCGUGUGCGAAGAAGGCUCUAGGGUUGUAAAGCACUUUCAGUGGCGAAGAAAAGCCCGGGGUUAACACCUCCGGGUCUUGACGUUAACCACAGAAGAAGCACCGGCUAACUCCGUGCCAGCAGCCGCGGUAAUACGGAGGGUGCGAACGUUAAUCGGAAUUACUGGGCGUAAAGGGCGCGUAGGCGGUUCGGCAAGUGGAUUGUGAAAGCCCCGGGCUCAACCUGGGAAUUGCAGUCCAAACUGCUGGACUAGAGUAUGGUAGAGGGAGGUAGGAUUUCCUGUGUAGCGGUGAAAUGCGUAGAUAUAGGAAGGAAUACCGAUGGCGAAGGCAGCCUCCUGGACCAAUACUGACGCUGAGGUGCGAAAGCGUGGGUAGCAAACAGGAUUAGAUACCCUGGUAGUCCACGCCGUAAACGAUGAGAACUGGCCGUUGGAGCCUUCGGGCCUUAGUGGCGCAGCUAACGCGAUAAGUUCUCCGCCUGGGGAGUACGGCCGCAAGGUUAAAGCUCAAAUGAAUUGACGGGGGCCCGCACAAGCGGUGGAGCAUGUUGUUUAAUUCGAUGCAACGCGAAGAACCUUACCAUCCCUUGACAUCCCCGGAACUGCUUGGAGACAGGCGGGUGCCUUCGGGAACCGGGU
rnacentral:rRNA from 1 species